UGAACGCUAGCGGCAGGCCUAACACAUGCAAGUCGAGGGGUAACGAUGGCUUCGGCCAGGCGACGACCGGCGCACGGGUGAGUAUCGCGUUUGUAACCUACCUCUAACUGGAGAAUAGCCCGAAGAAAUUCGGAUUAAUACUCCAUAAUACUAUGAUCUGGCAUCUUUUUAUAGUUAAAGCUCCGGCGGUUAGAGAUGGGCAUGCGUGACAUUAGUUUGUUGGUGAGGUAAGAGCUCACCAAGACUACGAUGUCUAGGGGGUCUGAGAGGAUGGUCCCCCACACUGGUACUGAGACACGGACCAGACUCCUACGGGAGGCAGCAGUGAGGAAUAUUGGUCAAUGGGCGCAAGCCUGAACCAGCCAUGCCGCGUGAAGGAUGACGGCGCUAUGCGUUGUAAACUUCUUUUGUACAGGAAGAAACACUUCUACGUGUAGAAGCUUGACGGUACUGUACGAAUAAGCAUCGGCUAACUCC
rnacentral:rRNA from 1 species